GGGUGGGGUGGUGCUGAUUUCUCCUUUAAGGAAUGAUUAAUGGCAAGAAUUCUUGGCUCUUGACUUUGGUAAACAGGAGAGUAGCACUUUUCUACAGCCUCCCAGUUAGGUCAUUUUGCAAGCCAUGAAGUUAUUAGGAACCCACGUUUUAAAUCUUGCCUCUCUUGCUUGAAACCUGCAUGAGCAGAACAUGUUCCGAGACGUUGCUGUGUCUCAGUUUCCUCUUCAGUGAAAUGGGAGCAAUCGUGCCUGCCUCACACGUGGUGAUUCGAUGAGGUCAUCCAUGCCAGAUGGCGCAACUUGUUAGCAAGGGUGUCUGUCUAGUCUCGUCAGAAAACCGUCCAGGGAAGUCUACGUGUCUUAAGUGGUCUGACUUCACCCCUAAUUGCGGUCCAAGCUGCUGUCGUCCGCAGGGCACUUCCCUGGGAUGCGUGUAGGGAAGUGUGCUAUCUCCCACCAGGUUCGAACAAAAACACCCACGACCCCCGUCGCGGCUGGCAGCCGCUCUCACGGCUGUGGGGCCACCCGCUUAGGAUGAAGCCAGCCGGGUGGGUGUGGGACAGGGAGAAUAGGAAAGGCUUGCAUUGCUGGUGGCUGUGCUGGGUCACUUAUCAACCGGCCCUAAUACUCUCCCUCCCGCUGCACUUCCGGUUAUGUGUCAUAAUAAGAAAUAGCCUAUUUCUUUAUUGCGUGAGGAAGUCUGAGUGCAGGUUAAAAGCCCCCCAGUGAAUACAUCUAGUUUCCAAAAAUCAUUACAACUUUGGAUUUUAUUUAGCUCCUCUUUUAUUUAUCCACUCUUCUUUUAAAAAAAAUUUUUUUUAAUUUCUAUUUGAGAGAGAGAGAGAGAGAGAGAGAGAGGAGAGAACAUGAGCGGAGGGGGCAGAGACAGAGACAGAAUCUGAAGCAAACUCCAGGCUUGGAGCUGCGGGCUGUCAGCACACAGAGCCCAAUGCAGGGCUUAGACUCACGAGUGGUGACAUCAUGACCUGAGCUGAAUGGAGUUGGACGCUUAACCGACCGAGCCACCCAGGUGCCCCUAUUCAUAUUCACUUUUCUAUUCAUGCAUUCAAUUAUUUUUCCUGAGCCUUUGUGUGAAUAGCACCAUGCCACGCAGUGGGAAACACAAGAACUUAAUGCUCUGCCUACCUCCCCAAGAAGCUUAGAUUAGAUACGUAUCUUCCUGUGAGGAGGAAGGUCACGGAUGGAGACACUGGUUGAGAAGACCCUUCGGGGAGGGGCUCCCAUGAGACACGGCAUCGAGGCAGGACCGCCUGGUUGAGUUUCUGGAAGACAAUGGCCGGUCAGUUUGGUUGGAGAAUUCAUAGAAGACCGUUAAGACAAGAAUCUAGGGAAUCGAGAAUUAGCAUGGCAUUAGCCUAAAGAGUUUGCGUUGUUUUUUAAAAUACAAAUAAGAACUCACUGAAGACUUGAGGUCUAGAGCCAUAGGAUGCAAAAAGCAUUUUUGGAGGAGUAAGUUGACAGACUUGUGGAACCGAGAUAAGGAGGUUGGAGGGAGGAGGGCCAGUUCGGAGGGUCUAUUACCUAGGCCUCCCGCACCCCCGCCCCGCCACUCCUUUCAAAGUGACAGAGGUGUGCGGGACCCCCCAGGGGAACACUGGUUCUGUGUGUCUUGACUCCAGUCUUUCUGGAGAUAGUCCCAGGUUAUCAGUAAGACCCACUCUGGAGCCAAAGCAGGAUACAAGGAUGUGAGGUAUUUUGUUUUGUAAUGUGGGAGAUUGGUGUUCAUUUUAUUUCAUUUCUCCUUAUGUCCAGUGCACGGAGUUGGGUUCAUCACACUCCUCAGCUCAUGGCCCCUGAGAGGAUUGAAGGAAGGUUCUCAGUUUAAUAUUCUGAGGUAAACCAGCCCAUAAUUCAGAUGGUUGGCCUCUCGAUGGUCCUCAUCUUUUCUGUUUUCGUCCGUAUUCUUAAACAUGUGAGAUAACCCAAAAGUAUUUAGACUAUUGGCUCUGCCUUUAGUGAGGUGGGCCCGAGUCAGAACAAGGUCUACUCUUCCAGAUCAUCAGAUCUUCAAAGCCCCGAGUAUCUAAUAAUCACCUUCUAGUGUACUUCGUGGUCUGAUUCGCUGCAUUCAUUAUAAGUAUGGGCGACUUUACUGUCCUAUCACUAAAUAGUGUUCAUCUGGCUUGAAAAAAAAAACUCGAGGCUUUUCUGUAACUAAUUAGCGAUUGUAAAUAUGCCCAUCUCCCACUCUUUUAAAAAAAAUUUUUAAUGUUUAUUUUUUUUUUCUGAGAGAGAGAGAGAGAGAAAAACAGAGCAUGGAGCAGGGGAGGGGCAGAGAGAGAGAGGGAGACACAGAAUCUGAAGCAGGCUCCAGGCUCUGCGCUGUCAGCACGGAGCCGGAUGUGGGGCUUGAACUCGUGAAUCGAGAGAUCAUGCCCUGAGCCGAAGCUGAACGCUUAACAGACUGAGCCACACAGGCGCCCCUCUCACUCUUAAUAUAGACGGUCAUAUAUUCAGCAGUGACAAUAGUUCUACUUACUUCUUUCCAAGUGUGUAUUUAUUCCCUCAUUUACAGAUGCAACAGACAUUUGAGCACCUACCAUGCGUCGCAUCGUUUACCAAAUGUGGCGGCCAUUUGGAAUCCACUUCAUCCCUUCCCUUCCCUAUUCAACAUGUCUAUAGUGCCUCCUGCUCUCCUGAGACUGCUCCCAGCUCUCAGACCCCAUGGCAUCCUUACCUUGCACCGUGCCUCAGUGCUGCUGGGUUCUGUCGAUCACCCCUCCCUGAACGGCUUCCCUUGACCGCUAAUUUUUGCUAUCCUUCCCUCCGAUGACUUAUCUCUUAGAUGGAAUUCUUCAGACUUCUGGCCUUGGUACUCUUUCUUUCUGAAGCUAUAUCCCUAGCUGGUUUGUCUCAUCCUGUGUGUCCAUGACUCUCACAUCUGUCUCUCCAGGCUGACCUUUCCCUGGAGAUCUGUCCUCUCCCUCCACUCUACCCCUGGGGGCCACUUCUCAGUCUUUAUCUGAAAAAUGAAAACGUCAUCCUCCCCCAGCCCCCUCUUUUCCCAUAUUUUUGCCCUGGCUAAUGGAGCUCAUCACUAAAGUCAGCUGAUCCACGUGGGGUGCAUCCACAAGACAGAGGCUGCAGAAGAUUCUUGCACCUCUGGUAACUUGCUUCUAUUGACUGAGGUGUGGGCCACAGAGUUGUUCAGAGUAAAAUGCUGAACGUUGGUCUCUCCUUAUACAUAAGAAUGAUUGUUCCCAAAGAACAUGUCUCCUUAGCUUGAGAUCUUUCUGGAUGGACAGAAAAAGGGGUGGGGCUAAGGCCGCUUUGUCAACGGUCCAUGGGUGGUUUGCUUCUUUGGGUGACCUCUGUCCUGGAUGUCAAGGAAGAGGAAUAUUUGGGAACCAGUCCCGUUGUGGCUGUUCCUGGGAGUUUAGUCAGAUUAAGCACACUCAGAAGAUGAAAACGGUGGGUUUUCAGGAGAGCUCUUGCCUCUGUGGCCUCAUCUGUGGGUCCCCCGGAGGAGCCAUUCCGAAUAGCUUCUGGCAGCACAGUUACGCGGGCUGUGCUGUGCUUUAGUGCCUUUGCACAAAUUGGAGUCUGUGCUGACAACGGUCGUUCAUUCAUUGGUCCCCCAAAUAUAAAUGGAGAGAUGACUCAGCAGCCCCACUCCUACGUAUAUACCUGAAAUAAUUGAAAGCAGAGACUCAAGACGAUACUUCUACACCCAUGUUCAUAGGCGCCCUUUUCACAGCAGCCAAAAGAUGGAAGCAGGCCAAGUGUCCACCGACAGACGAACGGACACACAAAAUGGGGGCGGGGGGGACGUACACACAAGGGGGAAUUAUUCAGUCUUAAAAAAGAAUGAAAAUCUGAUACAUACACAACAUGGAUGAACCUCGAAAGCCUUAUGCUAAGUGAAAUAAGCCAGACAAGAAAGGAAAAGUAUUGUGCAAUUCCAACUUACAUGGGAUGUGUAGAAUAGGCAAAUUCAGAGAGACAGAAAGUGUGUAGGGGUUACCAGGGGCUGGGGGAGGGGAGGGGGGGAGCUAUUGCGUAAUGGGUACAGAGUUUCUGUGCAGGAUGACGAAAAGUUUUGGACACAGUGGUGAUGAUUGCACAACACUGUGGAUAUAAUUAAUGCCCCUGAAUAGAACACUUAAAAAUGCUUAAAAUGGCAAAUUUUGUUAUAUAUAUUUUGCCACAAUAAGAAAAUAUAUAAACGGAGAGAGAGCGUGCGCCAGGGUGCGUUCACCAAUGUGAAUUUCUAGGGCAGGAACCUUGCCUGAUCUGACUGUGUAUCCUCUGAGCCCAGCACACAGGAAGCGCAACUAACAAGGACCUUGAGGUUGGGUCUUGAAAAACUGAGAGAUGAGAGGCAGUAGCAUUUUUUCCUGAAAAAAAGAAAACAACAACAACAACAACAACAACAACAA